CCUACGGGAGGCUGCAGUGAGGAAUAUUGGUCAAUGGACGAGAGUCUGAACCAGCCAAGUAGCGUGAAGGAUGACUGCCCUAUGGGUUGUAAACUUCUUUUAUAUGGGAAUAAAAUGUUCCACGUGUGGGAUUUUGUAUGUACCAUAUGAAUAAGGAUCGGCUAACUCCGUGCCAGCAGCCGCGGUAAUACGGAGGAUCCGAGCGUUAUCCGGAUUUAUUGGGUUUAAAGGGUGCGUAGGUGGAUUGUUAAGUCAGUUGUGAAAGUUUGCGGCUCAACCGUAAAAUUGCAGUUGAAACUGGCAGUCGUGAGUACAGUAGAGGUAGGCGGAAUUCGUGGUGUAGCGGUGAAAUGCUUAGAUAUCACGAAGAACUCCGAUUGCGAAGGCAGCUCACUGGACUGCAACUGACACUGAGGCUCGAAAGUGUGGGUAUCAAACAGGAUUAGAUACCCGUGUAGUC
rnacentral:rRNA from 1 species